ensembl:lncRNA
CUUCCGCCCACGAGGAAGUCUCGGAGCUGGUUGCUUCUCUGACUACAGUAGGGCCCUUUGCUCUUGGACGGUAGUGUGGUGGGCACUGCUCAGGUGCAAUCUCUUGGAUUUCCUCUCCCUGGACGGGCCGGGGUGGAUCGUGGGCGUGAACCUCGAGAGGCGGGACGAAGUAUUGCAGAAAAGGGAGGCCCUCUCGAGGAAUCUUACUGAAUUGCAGACUCUCCAGUUACAAGAAAGCUGCCUGUCUGAAUUUUUAGAAGAGCUGCUUUUGUUGGUUCCAAAGAUUCUGUUAUUAGAAAACUCUGCUCUGAGCUGGCUCCUGCAGCUCAUUUGACAAUGACUGAGGCCAGUUCCUGACUCUUCUGCUGAGUAAUACCAGAGAUUCCUCUCACGAAGCACUGAGAGGGAAGCCUCCAGGAUCCUAGAGCGGACGACUUGGUGUCUGGGGCGGGGUUCUGCGGAAGUCGACCUCAGGAGGCCACUGCAGGCAUCAAAGGCCUCUUGGUUCGUCAAAGGCCUCUUGGUUCGUUUUCCGGGUGAGACUUCUUCGACUUUCUCCUGGGUGUGGAGUAAGCUCUUGGGCGAAGGACCCCCGAGGUGGGUGGUUACUAAGCUCUCCACCUGGUUGUCUCAGAACUGCCCCUCACUCUGCCGCCCCUCCUCUCUCUGCCUCUUCUUCCUACACAUCUCCCUUCUUUUACUCCCUUUUCCUUUCCCUCGUCCCUUUUUUCUGUCCUUUUCCUCCGACGCCUUCUUUUCCUGUCCUUUCCCUCCUCCCUGUCCUUUGGGGAGGACAUACUGGCCAUACUGGCACUGGAAAUUCCCCUACAACGUCUCGGAGGCCCGGAGGCCUAACAGUCGCAGGAGCCCCUCCUCGCUUUUCUGGCGAAGCCCUAUUUUUGGGUGCGAGGAAGGGGAGUCGGAGAAUGGAGGAGAUCUUUUCUCUUGACCCUGUGUCCCCAGCUCUGCUUUGUUGUGAUAACUUUAUUAGCUUACCGACACUCGACAGUUUUAUUUGGAUGUUCUUGAAAUAUUUUCAUUUGCCUCAAAGAAAAAAACUCAGCUUAGCUGAACAUUCAUGAAAGUUCCUUUCUUUUGAUAUCUACAUUGCAUUUCCCCUCCGCCUCCAGCCGUUUUCUUCUGUUUAAAAGAUGAGAGCAAAUAUCCCUCUUUUUUCUUGAUACCUUUUCUUUGACAUUAAAAAUGUUAAAGUAACUGAUAACAACAUCAGAGAGGUACUUUAUACAUAGUUAUAGCCUUAAGAUAAUUCAGAAAAAUAUUGUAUUUAUUUUCCUUUAUAGUUGCCUUAAGUCAAUGUCAGCAAUUUGGGGCUCAGGAAAAAAGACAGCGCACUGAAGCAGCCACAGGAAAGGCUAAUUCAGGUGUGAGCAAGCUACAGAUCAAAGGGGCUUUGGGUAGGACUAGGAGUUCUACAUGUUUUGCUAAGGGCAAAGCAACUUGUACCAUAUGCUCCAUGGUAACCUCAUUUCUGGACUUUGGGCAAAGGUUCAUUUGUAUGUGAACUGUGCACCAAGUGAGCCUUUUUCAGUAUUGCCAAAGAGCUACUUACUGUUCAGAGAAACUUGAUAAAACAGCAUCACUUAGAAAUAAACGGCGCAGUUCCUAAGCCAUGUGGAAUGUAGUGUCCAUGUGACAAUAAACUUGUGACUGAUUUGUAGGUCUUGAAACUGAAUUAAGGAAGUUAGAGGCUUAAAAUAUACAUGUUUGUGUAAAGAAACAUUAGAAAGAUGCAGGAAACUAAUAAAAUUGGCUACCUGUGGAGGUGGCAAACAGGGGGAAUCAAGGUGGAAACAAGUUAUUUCUGUAUCUUUUUAGAUCAUUUUGACUUUUGAAUUAUAUAUUACCUGUUCAAAAACAUAGACAAAUUUUUUAAUAAAACUUUUGGAGUAGUUUCUGAGAUCUGGUCAUUUUAGAUUUACAGAAAAAUUGUGAAAGAAGUACAGAGAGUUCUUAUAUCCACCCCCCCACACACACACACUUAGUUUCCCUAUAGUUAACAUCUUACCUUAUGUAAUAUAUUUAUCACAACUCUUGAGUUACUAUUGCAUGUUAUUAUUAUUAAAGUCCAUACUUUAUUCACACUUCCUUAGUUUUUACCUAAUGUCCUUUCUCUAUUCUAGGAUCCCAGCCAGCAUACCAUGUUACAUUUAAUUGUCAUAUCUCACGUGUUCCUGUUGGUUGUGACACUUUCUCACACUUCCCUUGGUUCUGAUGACCUUGACAUUUUUGAGACAUAUUUGUCAGGUCUUUUGUAGGAUGCCACUCAAUUGAAAUUUGACUGAUGUUUUUCUCAUUACUAUACUGAGGUUAGAGGUUUGGGGGAGGAAGACCACAGAGGUGAAAUGUCAUUCUUAUCAAGAGUCCACACUGUCAACUUAUGACUGUUGACACAUAAAACAACUUGUAAAAUGGAAAAAGGCAGAGGGUGAUAAUUUGUGGAAUUUGAGUUUGAAGCAAAAGUUUUCUUAAGCUUGGAGAUAGAACUGAUGAAGUAUUGUUGUCAGGAUAUAAGAGAGUGGGAACCAUCCAACACGUUAUCUACACAUUGGUCUAAAUUACAAAGAUGGAAUGGACCUUUCUUUGGAGAGAUGGAGGAUCUAUUCUGUCGCAAUUCCAGAGGAGACAAAACAUCCCUGUUGCUAAAAUGCUGUCUGCCGUAGCCUCAUCAGCUGUAGCAGUAACAGUGGUAGCAAUAGACAGAGCUUAUUUAAUCACUGUAUCUGUCUUCCAACACAAAUAGUGUGGACUUGUGAGUGGUAAAACAAUGAUGAUGUUAUUGUUGUUUCCCCAAAUUAAUUCAAUAUCAGUUGAAUUUCUAAUUUUUUGCCUUCUCUAUUCCUGUGUUCCUUCAUCUGUUCUACUAUUUGCAAAUCUCUUCAACUCCUAUCUUGUUUCCCAAUUUAAUUAAAUGUGACAAAAAGUCUUUUCAAGUAGAAACUAUGUUAUUUUAUAUACUCACUUAUAGCCCAGAUUUUGUGUUUGAGUUGCCUUUUUAAAGUAUAUAUUUAAAUAGUAUAUUAGUCAGGUGUUCAUUCCAGGAGUUUUGUGGUAGUACCAAAUGAAUAAAAACAUUUGAUUUGACCACAUUUGA